AUGUGUGUGGCUGGGAUGUCCACUUCCACAGACAAGCUCCCACUUCCACAAAUAGCUAUAGCUCCCACUAGUCAGGGAGACAUCAAUAGCCCUCCCUCCAAUUACAUUGCAGGUUAUAGAGAAUGCUGUAAACAUGCACAAGAGCCUGCCAAUGUUCUCCACAAACACCAUACUGCCCACGGCCAGCAUCCAAGUGUAGCUGAGAAAGUAUUGAGUAAGCCUCACUUGGAUGCUGUGGAAAUAAAGAUACCCUCUCAGGAAGAAGUGCUGGCUCAAAGGUCUGAAUUUGGUGAGGAUUUUAAAAGGCCAACUCAGGAAAUAGCAGGAGUAGUAUCUGGGGAACUUAUAUCCAGAUGGGAUCCAAAAAAGGCUAAGCCCAGUCAAGAAGAGGCUGCAGUAUCUGCUAGAGUAGGCUGGAAGACACCUGAGUUGUCAAGGCAAGCAUUCACUGUGGCAGAAAAAUUGGGUCGACCAGGUUCUUCACCAUUGUCAAUGCGUUCAUCACAGCCCACACCUGGUGGAAGUAAAGAACAGCAGUGCAUGAGAAAGGGAAAAUUAAUUACAGGAUUGGCAGGACUGCGCCAUGGGCCAAUUGUGGGCACAUCAUGGGGCAAUGCACAUCAUGGGGCAAUGCAGUCAACUAGAGGGCGAGGUGGAGUGCUGGACCACCUGGCUCCAGGGUUGAUUAUUACCAGUUUAACUGCACAGGCUGAGCAAAGGGGGCUUAUAAAAGAGGACCACAAGCAGCUGGAAAGGGAAACAUCAGCGCAGAGGGAGACCCGAUCACCUGAGCCAGGACGCCAUGGGACAAGAGCCAAAGCGGGUGAAGGAGUGGUGCUUAUGGGCUACAGAAUUGGACGGGAAGGGAUGUCCUGUUUCUCUAAGACAGAUAACAGGGCAGUAAUGUUUCAGCAAGGGUAUGAUUUAGAGACAGCAACAUUGCCUCAAGAGCUUGGGCUAGAAAAGGCAGGGAAGCAGUCCAGUCAGGAGCUGCUACAACCAGGCAGGGAAGAACAAGAUGUUAAGGAGCAGGAGGUUCAAGAAAUUAAUGUAACUGAUGAAGCAGGGCAAGGUCUAGAAGGGAUAGACUUGUCUUGGCUUGGGAGACCAUUGUCUGGUGGUUAUGCAGCAUCAAGACCAACUUCUGGCUGGACUACAGGUGUAGGGUCAGGACAUGGGCUCACUUUAAGAUCGUUGCGUGCAGAAAUAAAGGAACGAAUUGAUAUGAUGGUUACAGGUCAGGGUACAUCAAAGUCAGCAGGCCAGAGUCCUGAACCACCAAAAGUUGGAAUGGGAAGAAGGAUGAUUGGGCUUGCAGGCAAGCCAGAGAACGUACACUGGCUGAAGAAGGUUCUAGGAUCAGAUGUGAUAGUGGAUCCCCUCUCUGUAGCAGGCCGUAGCUCAGACAUUAAACCUGAGAGCCCUACCUUGACAUCAGAACGACGGAGCCCUGGCCUGUUGACUGGGAGGCAGCAAUUAAAAGAUUGGCGGGAUGGUGUAAUGGGAAUUGCAAUUAAACGGUAUAAUGCAAUGAGGCGAGCCAUGUGGGGUGAAGGCCCAGUUGGCUUGCAUGUCAGAGGAGUGAAAAUAGAGAGUAUAGAUAGUUUUCCUGGUAGUAGCAUCCAGACUGGUUCCAUUCUGGAACAAGUUGAACGGAAGGUACGGAGGCUAGAGCAGCAUGUGACAGCUGAGAAUGUUCCAGCAUUGGGGGUAGAGGGGCAGGCGAUGACUGAUGUGCGGCCAGCAGGGUCCAGAGAGCCAUAGAAUUUUACAAUAGCUCAAUAUAGUGUUAAGGUUAAAGGUGAGGGGUCAGAGAAUAAUGGGUUAUUUAAAAGUAAGAUGAAGACUACAAACAAAUUAUCAGAUCGAUCAAAAAGGGUAAUAAUUUAAAUUGUAAACUCCCAACUUGCUACAUUAAGUAGAUUUAUAGGGACCCGUGAUAAGAAAAUGGAGCAGGAAAGACUCUAGGAUAAAGAUCCAAGAGUGACAGGCAGAAUAUUGACACUUCUAGAGCAAAGGUGAGUGCAGAGGGAAAUAAAACACAAAGUGAAACAAGAUUGGGAAUACUGAAAAAUAUAGAUUUCUGAUUCUAGGUGGGAGGCACUUCUACAAACUAUUCAUAUUUCACUGCCAAUGUAGUGUAGUGUAGGCAAAGGCCAGGAUUCAUCCUGUCAAGGUGUGGAUUAGUGAAAGAAUUGUCUUAAUGACUCUCAAGAGCACCCCAAACAGGUUCUUGCCUCUUUUCAUAGGCUUGGAUUUGGUAGCUGGUGCUUACAUUAAAACUCUCCAUUGUAAUCUGCAGUCAGGCUAUUGCUUGUCUGUGUUACAGUUGUGGAGAAACAAGAGUUUGAUCUGUGCUUCAGAAGAGUCAGCGAGUACUCUGGGUUAAGAGAAAAAGUGAAUGAUUCCCACCAAUAAAUGUAG
ensembl:lncRNA